UGGUUUCGGCUCGUAAAACUCUGUUGUUAAAGAAGAACAUAUCUGAGAGUAACUGUUCAGGUAUUGACGGUAUUUAACCAGAAAGCCACGGCUAACUACGUGCCAGCAGCCGCGGUAAUACGUAGGUGGCAAGCGUUGUCCGGAUUUAUUGGGCGUAAAGCGAGCGCAGGCGGUUUUUUAAGUCUGAUGUGAAAGCCUUCGGCUCAACCGAAGAAGUGCAUCGGAAACUGGGAAACUUGAGUGCAGAAGAGGACAGUGGAACUCCAUGUGUAGCGGUGAAAUGCGUAGAUAUAUGGAAGAACACCAGUGGCGAAGGCGGCUGUCUGGUCUGUAACUGACGCUGAGGCUCGAAAGUAUGGGUAGCAAACAGGAUUANAUACCCUGGUAGUCCAUACCGUAAACGAUGAAUGCUAAGUGUUGGAGGGUUUCCGCCCUUCAGUGCUGCAGCUAACGCAUU
rnacentral:rRNA from 2 species